GUAGUCGCCCGGGUUGCCGCAAGGCCUCCCGGGUAACCCACCACCCUUUGUUUAUUACACUUCGUUGCUUUGGCAAGCCUGCCCUCGGGCUGCUGGCUCCGGCCGGCGAGCGCUUGCCAGAGGACCUAAACUCUGUUUGUCUAUACUGUCUGAGUACUAUAUAAUAGUUAAAACUUUCAACAACGGAUCUCUUGGCUCU
rnacentral:misc_RNA from 1 species